rnacentral:rRNA from 1 species
UACGGAGGGGGCUAGCGUUGUUCGGAAUUACUGGGCGUAAAGCGCACGUAGGCGGCUUUGUAAGUUAGAGGUGAAAGCCCGGGGCUCAACUCCGGAAUUGCCUUUAAGACUGCAUCGCUAGAAUUGUGGAGAGGUAAGUGGAAUUCCCAGUGUAGAGGUGAAAUUCGUAGAUAUUGGGAAGAACACCGGUGGCGAAGGCGGCUAUCUGGACCACAACUGACGCUGAGGCGCGAAAGCGUGGGGAGCAAACAGG